rnacentral:rRNA from 1 species
AACGAACGCUGGCGGCAUGUCUAACACAUGCAAGUCGAACGAGACCUUCGGGUCUAGUGGCGCACGGGUGCGUAACGCGUGGGAACCUGCCCUUAGGUUCGGAAUAACUCCCCGAAAGGGGUGCUAAUACCGGAUAAUGUCUUCGGACCAAAGAUUUAUCGCCUUUGGAUGGGCCCGCGUUGGAUUAGCUAGUUGGUAGGGUAAAAGCCUACCAAGGCGACGAUCCAUAGCUGGUCUGAGAGGAUGAUCAGCCACACUGGGACUGAGACACGGCCCAGACUCCUACGGGAAGCAGCAGUGGGGAAUAUUGGACAAUGGGCGAAAGCCUGAUCCAGCAAUGCCGCGUGAGUGAUGAAGGCCUUAGGGUUGUAAAGCUCUUUUACCCGGGAUGAUAAUGACAGUACCGGGAGAAUAAGCUCCGGCUAACUCCGUG